UAAUAAUCACCCCUCAUUUCGAUUCCUUUAUUCUCCUGCUCUUUUCUAAGAGUGUGUUUUUAAAGGCCAGCUGCGGUUCCAAAGGUCUUUUUAAGUCUCUGGGUUUCUUUCCCUUUUUGAGGCAGCAGUGAAAUAUGGACGCUCUCAGCACCUUCCCUGCAGUGUUGGCUAACGUCUGAAAUUGGGUUUUAAACAGCAGAAAGGAACGUGAGUUGGUUCUGAAGGGUUGGUGGUGGCGUUGCCGUGCACCUUCAGGAGGUUGGAGUGUCUGAGCCUGUGCUGGGCGCAGCCCCCAGAGCUGUCAGAUUGCUGUAAUUUUAUCAUUGCGGCUUCAAUUAGCAACCGGGAGAGGAGGAUUUAGCCGUGAUGUGAGUCUAGGUCGUCUGCUGAGUCAAUGGGGGAUUCCAUCCUCUCCACUGUCAGGAAGGCGGCGAGGUUGGCCGUGUAGGAUGAAAUGAUGAUGAGGGUGAAGAACCACCAGAUGCCACCAAUGAUCCGCGUGGAGAGCGCCUUGGGC